rnacentral:rRNA from 1 species
GCCAGACUCCUACGGGAGGCAGCAGUGAGGAAUAUUGGUCAAUGGGCGGAAGCCUGAACCAGCCAAGUCGCGUGAGGGAAGAAGGCCCUGCGGGUCGCAGACCUCUUUGGACGGGGAGCAAGGCCGCCGACGUGUCGGCGGAAGGAGAGUACCCGUAGAACAAGCAUCGGCUAACUCCGUGCCAGCAGCCGCGGUAAUACGGAGGAUGCGAGCGUUAUCCGGAUUUAUUGGGUUUAAAGGGUGCGUAGGCGGCGCUUCAGGUCAGCGGUGAAAUACCGGGGCUCAACCCCGGGGCUGCCGUUGAAACCGGAGCGCUAGAAUUCCGAUGCCGUCGGAGGAAUGUGUGGUGUAGCGGUGAAAUGCAUAGAUAUCACGCAGAACUCCGAUUGCGAAGGCAGCGCACCGGCGCCCUACUGACGCUCAGGCACGAAAGCGUGGGUAUCGAACAGGAUUAGAUACCCGAGUA